GCACAGAGUUAGCCGUCCCUUCCUCUUUCGCUACAAUCAGCUCGACCGGUGUUAGCGGGCAAGGUUUGUUCGCAAAUGACAGGGGUUUACGGGCCGAAGCCAUUCAUCCCCCACGCGGCGUCGCUCCAUCAGGCUUUCGCCCAUUGUGAAAAAUUCUCGACUGCUGCCACCCGUAGGUGUCUGGACCGUGUCUCAGUUCCAGUGUGGCUGGUCGUCCUCUCAGACCAGCUACCCGUCUUAGCCUUGGUGAGCCGUUACCUCACCAACAAGCUGAUAGGCCGCGGGCUCAUCCUGAAGCGUCAGGCCUUACGGUCCCCAACUUUAGACCUCGAGCGAUGCCACCCAAGAUCCACAUUCGGUAUUAGCUCGCCUUUCAGCGAGUUAUCCCCAACUUCAGGGCGGAUUACCCACGUGUUACGCACCCUUACGCCACUCCGACUGCCGAAUAUUGCUACCCAGCAAUCAGCGUCCGACUUGCAUGUCUUAUCCACGCCGCCAGCGUUCGUU
rnacentral:rRNA from 1 species